rnacentral:rRNA from 1 species
GUUUCAGCCGCCGCGGUAAUGCGUAGGGUGCAAGCGUUAAUCGGAAUUACUGGGCGUAAAGCGUGCGCAGGCGGUUAUGCAAGACAGAGGUGAAAUCCCCGGGCUCAACCUGGGAACUGCCUUUGUGACUGCAUGGCUAGAGUACGGUAGAGGGGGAUGGAAUUCCGCGUGUAGCAGUGAAAUGCGUAGAUAUGCGGAGGAACACCGAUGGCGAAGGCAAUCCCCUGGACCUGUACUGACGCUCAUGCACGAAAGCGUGGGAAGCAAACAGGAUUAGAUACCCUGGUAGUCCACGCCCUAAACGAUGUCAACUGGUUGUUGGGAGGGUUUCUUCUCAGUAACGUAGCUAACGCGUGAAGUUGACCGCCUGGGGAGUACGGCCGCAAGGUUGAAACUCAAAGGAAUUGACGGGGACCCGCACAAGCGGUGGAUGAUGUGGUUUAAUUCGAUGCAACGCGAAAAACCUUACCUACCCUUGACAUGCCAGGAAUCCUGAAGAGAUUUGGGAGUGCUCGAAAGAGAGCCUGGACACAGGUGCUGCAUGGCCGUCGUCAGCUCGUGUCGUGAGAUGUUGGGUUAAGUCCCGCAACGAGCGCAACCCUUGUCAUUAGUUGCUACGAAAGGGCACUCUAAUGAGACUGCCGGUGACAAACCGGAGGAAGGUGGGGAUGACGUCAGGUCAUCAUGGCCCUUAUGGGUAGGGCUACACACGUCAUACAAUGGCCGGGACAGAGGGCUGCCAACCCGCGAGGGGGAGCUAAUCCCAGAAACCCGGUCGUAGUCCGGAUCGUAGUCUGCAACUCGACUGCGUGAAGUCGGAAUCGCUAGUAAUCGCGGAUCAGCUUGCCGCGGUGAAUACGUUCCCGGGUCUUGUACACACCGCCCGUCAAAC